GAUGAAGAACGUAGCGAAAUGCGAUAAGUAAUGUGAAUUGCAGAAUUCAGUGAAUCAUCGAAUCUUUGAACGCACAUUGCGCCCGCCAGUAUUCUGGCGGCCAUGCCUGUUCGAGCGUCAUUUCAACCAUCAAGCCCUGCUUGCGUUGGGGUCCUGCGGCUGCCCGCAGGCCCUGAAAACCAGUGGCGGGCUCGCUAGUCACACCGAGCGCAGUAAUACAUCUCGCUUUGGGCGUGCGGCGGGUUCUUGCCGUUAAACACCCCCUUUUUACCAAGGUUGACCUCGGAUCAGGUAGGAAUACCCGCUGAACUUAAGCAUAUCAAUAAGCGGAGGA
rnacentral:misc_RNA from 1 species